CAUAGAGAACAAGCUCACAAAAUUCCAGUUAAUUCUAUACACUUAUAAUCAUAAAUCGGUUCAUAAUACUACAAAAAGAUCCCCAGCUGAUAUCUUCCUGUACGCCGGACUAUCAGAUUAUAACACCCAACUGAAUAAGGUUAGGAAGAUCAAUCAUUUGAAUAACGAUAGAAUCGACUUUGAAGUAGACACACGCUACAAAAAUGCACCCCUAGUUAAAAAAUAACAACCAAUCCGAUCAAAAGAAUAGGGGAAAUUCGGCAGAGUACCCGAAGAGAGUACUGGGAAUCUGGAGCUACAACAUGAUUAAGAUUAUAAUCUUACUAAUGUUCACCGUCCUACAGUCUACCGGACAGAAUAUAGAGAUAGAUCCCAUCAACUCAAGGAAUGGAUAUCUCAUAUUUAAAA